rnacentral:rRNA from 1 species
UACGAAGGGGGCUAGCGUUGCUCGGAAUUACUGGGCGUAAAGCGCACGUAGGCGGUUUGUUAAGUCGGGGGUGAAAUCCUGGAGCUCAACUCCAGAACUGCCUUCGAUACUGGCGAUCUCGAGUUCGGGAGAGGUGAGUGGAACUGCGAGUGUAGAGGUGAAAUUCGUAGAUAUUCGCAAGAACACCAGUGGCGAAGGCGGCUCACUGGCCCGGUACUGACGCUGAGGUGCGAAAGCGUGGGGAGCAAACAGG